rnacentral:antisense_RNA from 1 species
ACAACUGCAGCGAGAGAAGAGGCUGGCAGCAUGGGUGGCAGGAGGCUUGGCAGCCUCACAGGAUGCCUGCAAAUACCUUUCACUUAUGCAGUUUGGCAGUGCAGUGGUGCAUGGNGACAGCGUCUUGGGCCUGGCACCCACAGCCACUUAGGAAGUUGGAGUCCUGGAGAGGAGAACACAGAACGUGGACAACUAGCUGUCAAAUUGCAGUAAAAGUUGGUUCAGGAAAAGUGGAAGCUACCCAGAUGUCUACCAAUUGUACAGAAGCUUCUAUUCUGGAAUAGAACAGCUAGCAUACUACCAAGACUUUUCAAGGAGCAAGAAUGGAGCUCCCUGGAGAACUGACUGAACAUGGCUUCAGAGGCAGUAUCCAUAUAAGAGUCCUGAAGCUCAGAUGACACAGCUGAUAACAGGGAAGCCAGGACAGAAUCUCAUUGUUUUGAACACCAAAACCCGUUCCCUUGACAACUUGGCUAUACUACACUAUUCGAAUGUUGCAGAUACUGUGGUCACAUUUCAAAGGCCAGAUCUUUCCCAGGGCUUAAGCUGUUCCUUGGAUACUUUUGCUGAUGGUUUACACAUCUUCUUCCCACAUUAUAUUGUAACUUUCUU